AAAUGGGGCCCAGUUCUAUGUUUCUUUUUUCCACAUUCUAUAGGGACAUAUGAAAAUGGGGAAUAUCAGCUUAACCUGCAAUCAAUAAGCACCCAUUAAGUCUUAACAGAUAUUUAGCUCUUGCAUAUCCUCUUUCUAUGCCUUGAAUGCCUUGUGUCUACUCUUAAAAUAUUUUUAAGGCACUGGAGCAGGAAAGGCUGGAGAGAGAAAGGACGGAAAGAGGAAGGUUGGAGAGAGAGAGGUUAGAAAGGGAAAGGCUGGAGAGGGAGCAACUGGAACAAGAACAGCUGGAGAGAGAGAGACAGAACGGGAACAGCAGGAAGUCCUGGAUCGGGACAGGCAAGAAAGACAAGACAGACAGGCUGGAGAGACUGAAACGGGAGAGGCAAGAAAGGGAGUGACAAGAACAGUUAGAAAGGGAACAGCUGGAAUGGGAGAGAGAGUGCAGAAUAUCAAAUGCUGGCAUUGUCUUGGGACCACUUGCACCUCCACCUCCUCCACCACUCCCACCAAGGCCUGCACAGGCUUCAGUAGCACUCCCUCCUGGCCCAGGACUCCCUCCACCUCCUCCACUCCCAUCUCUUUCCCUCUGAGCUGGCUGUUUUUCUCUGGCCUUUACAACAGAAUGGAAGAGAAUCAUAUAAGAGUUCCUGUAACAGUUAUGCAGAAAAUACUAAAACCCAUCAGGCAAGAUCGCUGCACAUUGAAAUAUUUUCAUGUCAAGAUAAAAUAGCACAUUUUCCACAAUUCAUUGCUUAAAUAAAGAGGAGGAAGGCUUAGGAAGUUUUUUGCAGAGAGUGCUGAUAAAGAAUUGAGCAAGUUUCCUAUUGUAUUGUAAUGCUUCUCUCAGGUUUGCUCUUCCUAUCAUGUCUGAUAUUCCGUGAAUAAUUGAGAUCAGCCCUAUGUAAGUUCAGAUCAUAAUAUGUGGAACAAAUGGAAUUGUAAGUGCUUUCAAAGGAUAAUAUUUAGAAGAAAGUGUCAUAAAUUUGUUCAGCUUGAGGGAUUUUAGAACGAUGGAAAGUCUCUUGAGUUAGCCUUCAUGCAAUUUUGUAAAUUAAAACAUAAAAUUUGUCCAGAAUUUAAAGAUUUAGAUGCCUUCCUAAAUUCUUACAAUGCUUUACCACAUCUAAAGACUUCUACAUAACACAAACCAGUGGUCAAAUGUAAACACUAUAUUGCAGACUUACUGUAGAUUUUCCACCUUUUUAGAUUUAUGCAUGUGGGCAUUUUUAUAAUGUAAUUACAAUCACCAUGAAGUGAGCUUUUUAAAUUGCAGACAGUAAUGCAUGUGACACUAAUAUGUAGUGGCCUUUUCAAGGCCUAGUUCCAGAGAAAACAUUUUGUAGAGUAUAGGGGGGUGGGAAGAAGUGGAGAAAUAAUUUUUUAUUUGAAGUUGAUUUCUGCGCUAUCUUUUUCUCAAUUACCUGCAUGAAUAAUAAUGAGGAAUAUUUUGUGACUUUAAUUGGUAAACAUGUUACAAAACCAAGUACUUAAUCUUUUAUUUCAUGUCUUCAGCUAUUUGUAUUUUAUUUAUUUAUUUUAUUGUAUUGUAUUUUUGAGACGGAGUCUCACUCUGUCACCCAGGCUGGAGUGCAGUGGCGCGACCUCGGCUCACUGCAACCUCCACCUCCUGGGUUCACGCCUUUCUCCAGCCUCAAUUUCAAUGGUCUGAAACAUGAUUUUGAGCUUCACAUAAUAUCUUACUGUGGAACUCAAAGGUUUAAUCACUGAAUUUGGCAGUUGUUACCUAGGUACUCCUGCUGUUACACAGGUGUUUAGACACGGGUUCCUGAAUGAAGCUGCUUUUGAAUUCUGUUAUGUUGAAAUAUAAGAAAUAACAAUGAUGGCAGCAAUUAAGGCCACAGAAAUCAUUCGGUAAAGGAAAAACCAAUGAGGAGUUCUGCAGUUUUCUUUUAAUAAGUAAAGUGAGACUUGGGUUGUGGGAAGAAAGAAUUAGACACUCUACCUGUCACCGUGUGUGUGCACUCGUGCACAUGCUGUCUAUAUGGCAGCCACUCCCUUUUCUCUCCUUUGAAACUGGUAAGGUUAAAAUAGGGGAGAAAUCCUAUACGUGGCAAUGACACCUUUUUGGAAAUUUAAUAAAUCAAACUCUCCGGCCAGGUGGGGUGGCUCAUGCCUGUAACCCCUGCACUUUGGGAGGCCAAGACAGGCGGAUCAUGUGGUCAGGAGAGCGAGAACAUCCUGGCUAACACGGUGAAACCCCGUCUCUACUAAAAAAAAAAAAAAAAAAUUAGCUGGGCGUGGUGGCGGGUGCCUGUAGUCCCAGCUACCCGGGAGGCUGAGGCAGGAGAAUGGUGUGAACCCGGGAGGCAGAGCUUGCAGUGAGCUGAGA
rnacentral:lncRNA from 1 species